rnacentral:rRNA from 1 species
UACGUAGGGAGCAAGCGUUGUCCGGAAUCAUUGGGCGUAAAGCGCACGUAGGCGGCUUAGUAAGUUGGAUGUGAAAUCCCUCGGCUUAACCAAGGAAGUGCAUCCAAAACUACUGAGCUUGAGUACUAAAGAGGAUCGCGGAAUUCCCGGUGUAGAGGUGAAAUUCGUAGAUAUCGGGAGGAACACCAGUGGCGAAGGCGGCGAUCUGGGUAGAUACUGACGCUGAGGUGCGAAAGCGUGGGGAGCGAACAGG